rnacentral:rRNA from 1 species
GAUGAACGCUAGCGAUAGGCUUAACACAUGCAAGUCGAGGGGCAGCAUGGUCUUAGCUUGCUAAGACUGAUGGCGACCGGCGCACGGGUGCGUAACGCGUAUGCAACUUGCCUCACAGAGGGGGAUAACCCGUCGAAAGACGGACUAAUACCGCGUACACUUGGAGGGAGGCAUCUCCCAUCAAGGAAAAGAAAUUCGCUGUGAGAUAGGCAUGCGUCCCAUUAGCUAGUUGGUGAGGUAACGGCUCACCAAGGCAACGAUGGGUAGGGGAACUAGGAGGUGGAACCCCCACACUGGUACUGAGACACGGGCCAGACUCCUACGGGAGGCAGCAGUGAGGAAUAUUGGUCAAUGGGCGAGAGCCUGAACCAGCCAAGUGGCGUGAAGGAUGACUGUCUUAUGGAUUGUAAACUUCUUUUGUAGGGGAAUAAAGAACGGUACGUGUACCGUAGUGAAUGUACCCUACGAAUAAGCAUCGGCUAACUCCGUGCCAGCAGCCGCCGUAA